UACGGGGGGAGCAAGCGUUGUUCGGAUUUACUGGGCGUAAAGGGCGCGUAGGCGGUCGUGACAAGUCACUUGUGAAAUCUCCGGGCUUAACUCGGAACGGUCAAGUGAUACUGUCGGACUAGAGUACAGAAGGGGCAACUGGAAUUCUCGGUGUAGCGGUGAAAUGCGUAGAUAUCGAGAGGAACACCUGCGGCGAAGGCGGGUUGCUGGGCUGAUACUGACGCUGAGGCGCGAAAGCUAGGGGGAGCGAACGGG
rnacentral:rRNA from 1 species